AGAGUUUGAUCAUGGCUCAGGAUUAACGUUGGCAGUGUGCCUAACACAUGCAAGUCGAGCGAUAUAGCGGCAGACGAGAGAGUAUAAGAAAGGAACGUACCCCCCGAGUGAAGGAUAGCCAGCCGAAAGGCUGGGUAAUCCUGCAUAAUCCCGCAAGGGCAAAGCUUUACGCGCUUGGGGAGCGGCCUUUCUCCUAUCAGCUUGUUGGUGAGGUAAUGGCUUACCAAGGCGAUGACGGGUAGCUGGUCUGAGAGGAUGAUCAGCCUCGAUGGGACUGAGACACGGACCAUACUCCUACGGGAGGCAGCAGUUGGGAAUUUUGCACAAUGGAGGCAACUCUGAUGCAGCAACACUGCGUGAAGGAUGAAGGUUUUCGGAUUGUAAACUUCUUUUAUCUGGGAAUAAUCUUGAAGGUACCAGAUGAAUAAGCACCGGCUAACUACGUG
rnacentral:rRNA from 1 species